rnacentral:rRNA from 1 species
GAUGAACGCUGGCGGCGUGCCUAAUACAUGCAAGUCGAGCGAACAGACGAGGAGCUUGCUCCUCUGACGUUAGCGGCGGACGGGUGAGUAACACGGGGAUAACCUACCUAUAAGACUGGGAUAACUGCGGGAAACCGGAGCUAAUACCGGAUAAUAUAUUGAACCGCAUGGUUCAAUAAUGAAAGACGGGUUUGCUGUCACUUAGAGAUGGAUCCGCGCCGCAUUAGCUAGUUGGUAAGGUAACGGCUUACCAAGGCAACGAUGCGUAGCCGACCUGAGAGGGUGAUCGGCCACACUGGAACUGAGACACGGUCCAGACUCCUACGGGAGGCCGCAGUAGGGAAUCUUCCGCAAUGGGCGAAAGCCUGACGGAGCAACGCCGCGUGAGUGAUGACGGUCUUCGGAUCGUAAAACUCUGUUAUUAGGGAAGAACAAAUGUGUAAGUAACUAUGCACGUCUUGACGGUACCUAAUCAGAAAGCCACGGCUAACUACGUG